GACUCUCAGCGGUGGAUCACUCGGCUUGUGCAUCGAUGAAGGACGCAGCUAGCCACGAAAACUAAUGUGAAUUGCAAUACACAUUGAUCAUCGACAUUUCGAAUGCACCUUGCAGCCCCGGGUCCCUCCUGGGGCCACGCCUGUCUGAGCGUCG
rnacentral:rRNA from 1 species